AAGAAAAAUAAAAUGAAAUAACAAGUUAUACAGAAACAGAAACAGGCAUUAUAUACAGCAUAAGCAAAUUGUAACACUCUCUUUUUAUUUUUUUUAUCUGAUAAUAAAUUUAAUUAAGAGAAAGGAAGGAAAUUAAGGUGCAGAAGAAGGUAUCCUCCUAUGAAACCCAAGCAAAAACAUAAAACAAGACUAAAAGAGUAACACUCCAAUCAAAAUAAAUAACAAUUAACAAAAACUCACUGAAAAUUCAUGAAUCAUAAUCCCACAAUGAAGCUAAAAAAACAACAGGAUAAUUUAUAACUAAAUCCCUGAGGUAUAGCAAAACCCAUAGGUUAGUCCCCGAUAUGUUUUCAAGGACCAAAUCAUUAUUUAAAAACGAACCAGGGACUAACCUGUGGAUUUUGCUAUACCUUAGGGGCUUAAUUGUAAAUUACCCAUAAAAUAAUAACAACAGAUUGUCCCACAACAAAUCAAAUGACAUUUUGAAAAUAUGUUAAUUUCUCUCCAUCCAAAAAUUCCACAAUACUGCCAAAAACUCCACAAUACUGCCAAAAACACACACUUAGAAUUCCAUAGAAUUUUGUCAUCUUUCCAGCCACCAAACCCUCUCCAUUUUAGUAUAACUAAGAUCCCUAGCAUAUCCAAUGUUCCUCAAAAAUUCUGAAAAGCUGAUUCUGAAUUGCCAAGGCCAACAAGUUCUCAUCAGUUUUAU
rnacentral:misc_RNA from 1 species